UACGUAGGCAGCAAGCGUUGUUCGGAGUUACUGGGCGUAAAGGGUGCGCAGGCGGCCUGGCGCGUCGCGAGUGAAAUCUCCUGGCUCAACUGGGAGGGUGGUCGCGAGACGGCUGGGCUUGAGGCUCGGUGAGGGGCGUGGAAUUCCGGGUGGAGCGGUGAAAUGCGUAGAGAUCCGGAGGAACACCGACGGCGUAGGCAGCGCCCUAGACGAGACCUGACGCUCAGGCACGAAAGCGCGGGGAGCGAACAGG
rnacentral:rRNA from 1 species